AUAAUAAUAUUCUGGUAUUCCAGGAAACUUUCGACAAGCAGUGCAUGUCGCAUCUUCAAUUAUGUUGAAUCUACUCAAAUGAGCGGUGUUAUGCCCAAACCGAAGUCUGUUCAGUGUUGUAAUGAAGUCUCUACUUGCAAUCUUUAGCUGAUAAUACCAUGGUUUUCCGGUAUCGGUAGUCCGUUUGUAUGCUUCCAUACCAUUUUCCUUUCUGUUCUUGGUCUUUUUUCCAAAAUCUUCUCCAUACUUUCAUUUAUAUCCUUAUUGAUGUCGGUAUAACAAUCAGUAAAAGGAGUCUUAACCAUAAUACUUACAUCUAUUGAAUUAGUUCCAAUAUAUGCAGCUUUAUCAGCAAUUUCAUUUCCACUAAUGCCUCUAUGCGAAGGAAUCCACAUGAAAAAUACUUGUUUUCUAUACUACUUAGACUUCUUAGAUUUAUAAGAGUUUUAAUUUUGAAAAGCAAGUACUUUGAUUUAAAGUUACCUUUUAAACUAUCAAUUAAACUUAGAUAGUAAGGAUUACAAAUAUUUACACUUUUCUAAAUGUGCUUUAACACUUCUAACACUGCAUAUGCCUCAGCAGUAAAUAUACUAGAACUAUCUAACACAAAACUUUGUACAAAAUUAAUCUGAGGGUCAUAAACAGCACUACGAACAUGAGACUCCUUUACUCCCAUCAGAGUAUUUGGGAGAGUUCUGGAUAUUGGUGGAAAAGAAGAUCCUCACCGGUUAUCUCAGCAGGAGCACUAGAUUGAACAGGACGGAAACAAGUGAAACAAAGCUGUCUGCACAACUUCGUCCUCGUCUGAAGCCAUAUUGAACAUUUGGUAGUAUGUCAUUGUGUACAACAAACCAGUCAAGCAGAGUUUUUAUCAUGUUCUCAAAUAUUUUACCUAGACAAGAUGAGAAAUUAUUAUAAGUCGGCAGGAAUUAGCACUAUCGGGAGGCUUAUCUGUCUUUAAAAUAGGUAUUACACAUUGAGUUUUCCAUGACUUGGGAAUAAUCUGUUUAAUCCAUAAGUUAUUAAGAAUUUCUAAGAAAAGAUUUUGAACUGACUGAUGAAGGUUUUUAAUUAAUAUUUAAGGAAAACCACCUAAUCCAGGUGUUGUAUUUAAAGAUGCAGAAAAUUCCUGAAAUGAAAACUUCUAACAGAAAUUUCGUAUUUUCAUUAUUGUUAUGAAUAUUAAAAUAUUUUUCUAACCAUGUAAAUUGUAUCCGGGAAUAUUAAAUAAUCUAUUGUUUUUUAAACCAUGUUUCAUUUAAUAGAAAAAUAUCUAUAUUUUCAUUUGCUAAAAAAUCUAUUAAUAAGGGUUUUUUAUUAUAUGCGUUUUGUAUAUUGAACUGUGCUAUUCGUAACUGUGACUGUGAUAAGGUGCUAUUUAUAUCCAUAAGCUUAGGAAAGAAGAAACUAUGAAUUGGAGUCCCAUAACCCUUAUUGGUAAUUUCAAGUAUAGUGUGAAUAAUUGCUGAGUUUAAAUCUGUAUUAUAUAUUAAUUGCCCUUAUAAAUUAAUUUGAGGAGCUUGUGUAGUGGGAACUACAGGUAAUUUAUUAAUCUUAGAAGUAGAGCUACUAUCUACCUUAUGCAGAUGAGGCUGCAGAUUUAUUUACAUUUUGUACAAUUUUAUUUUCAGGUAUGGUUUUAAUUAUAUU